rnacentral:rRNA from 1 species
GAUGAACGCUGGCGGCGUGCCUAAUACAUGCAAGUCGAGCGAACGGACGAGAAGCUUGCUUUUCUGAUGUUAGCGGCGGACGGGUGAGUAACACGUGGAUAACCUACCUAUAAGACUGGGAUAACUUCGGGAAACCGGAGCUAAUACCGGAUAAUAUUUUGAACCGCAUGGUUCAAAAGUGAAAGACGGUCUUGCUGUCACUUAUAGAUGGAUCCGCGCUGCAUUAGCUAGUUGGUAAGGUAACGGCUUACCAAGGCAACGAUGCAUAGCCGAACUGAGAGGGUGAUCGGCCACACUGGAACUGAGACACGGUCCAGACUCCUACGGGAGGCAGCAGUAGGGAAUCUUCCGCAAUGGGCGAAAGCCUGACGGAGCAACGCCGCGUGAGUGAUGAAGGUCUUCGGAUCGUAAAACUCUGUUAUUAGGGAAGAACAUAUGUGUAAGUAACUGUGCACAUCUUGACGGUACCUAAUCAGAAAGCCACGGCUAACUACGUG